rnacentral:rRNA from 1 species
CCUACGGGAGGCAGCAGUAGGGAAUAUUGCUCAAUGGGGGAAACCCUGAAGCAGCAACGCCGCGUGGAGGAUGAAGGUUUUCGGUUUGUAAACUCCUUUUGUUAGAGAAGAUAAUGACGGUAUCUAACGAAUAAGCACCGGCUAACUACGUGCCAGCAGCCGCGGUAAUACGGAGGGUGCAAGCGUUACCCGGAAUUACUGGGCGUAAAGAGAGCGUAGGCGGGAUAGCAAGUCAGAUGUGAAAUCCUAUGGCCUAACCAUAGAACUGCAUUUGAAACUGUUAUUCUAGAGUAUGGGAGAGGUAGGUGGAAUUCUUGGUGUAGGGGUAAAAUCCGUAGAGAUCAAGAGGAAUACUCAGUGCGAAGGCGACCUGCUAGAACAUAACUGACGCUGAUGCGCGAAGGCGUGGGGAGCAAACAGGAUUAGAUACCCGAGUAGUC